rnacentral:rRNA from 1 species
AUGCAUACCAAUUAUUCUUUGUAUUGUGGCUUUCAGGAAUUAUCCUUUGAUGAAACAAGUGAACAAAUGGUGGCAGAUGAGGACGAAGAUUUAGCACAAACGUCCGGCAUGAAAAGGCCACAAACAGUGAAGCCUAUCCGAUUACAUAACAAACCUAAGAAAGCACCAGACUAUGUGGUGGCUCCAGAAGGCACGUACAAGUCCUUCUAUGCCUUACUUUUGCUACAUUUAUUUUCUUCGUUGUUAAUAAAUGUUUUGACUUACAUCAUGAUAGAUUAUGCUUGCACCGGCGAUGAUUGGUCCAUGAUUGAAAAUAUCAUGACUGAACCAAGCGAUAAAAGAAAUUUAGUGAGCAUCAACGACUCAUAUCUCAAAAAAUUACAAUUACUACGCCUUUUAACCGAAGGAGAAUUUGUUGGCGACGAAGUAAGUAUAUGUAGCUUUAUGAUAAGAGGAUGUUAUUAA